GAGGUGGGGAGUCCGAGUCCUCUUCUGGGUGGGGCUCUGGCACCAGCAUCUCCUCGGGUGGGACGGUCACCAGCAGGUACGGGGUGGGGCAGAUGAAGGAGUUCCUGCUGACCACCAACGAUAGGAGUGAGGGUGGAGGACAGCUUCUCCGACGUGGAGAAGUUCGCUCGCUCCGCUCGGCACGGCAGCACCAAGAAAGGAGCUGGAAGUUUCACCCAGCAGGAGGUCUCCAGACUGAGGAGCUACUCGUAAAGAUCCAAAAGGAAGGAGGAAGCACCACUGGGACCGAGUAGCUCGGUAUCCUGCGAGGAGCUACCGGGUGGAACUCCUUAGUGAGCGGGGCUGGAAGCCAUCAGAUGUUUGGUGCCAUGGUGGAUAAAAAGCUGGGGGAAGAGCUUGGAUUUGAAAGCAGCUUGGAUUUGAUGGCACGCACCUUGCAGUGUGUGUUUAGGUGUCUGUGUUUGCCAAUGUGCUGGUAGUUAUUCAUGGUGGCAUUCUUCUACUGUUGGACAGUACGAUUUUUGUUGUUUAAUGUUUUGGUUUUGGGAAAUUCUGUCUUAAUGUAAAGCUAAACGCCUCAUUAAAGCAAAUGUAUGAAUGUAUGAAUUUGGUCAUUCAGGUCGGUGUGACCUGAUAUCUGUUGGUACUUUGUCCUAAACAGCGGUGUGUAGGUUUAAAUUGCAAUUUGAUCGGUUUUGGAAACUGCUUGAAUUUAUCUGGUUGUGUUAUCUUUUUCCCUCGUUCUGUCUGUCUCAUUCAUUAUUAAUCAUCCAACAGUGUCCUGCUCUACUCCCUGUUCAUUAAUUAUGGCUUCGCAGUAGAAAACUAGAAAUCUGGGCCUCAGCCCCCGACAUCGUUGUCUGUGAACAACCUGAUGCACUCAGAAUGAAAUUAACAAGAAAGGGAUAGAAAAGAUCACUCAUACUGUGUAGCAGUAUUUGGAAACAUUAUUGCAGUACCUGACAGCAAACACCACACACGUGAGGUGAGCACAGUGGUAUGUUACUGCCACUACAUAAAAAGUGUAUUUUCCCAUUGUGAUGAAUAAGUUAUUUGAAAUACCACACACAUUACAUUUAUAUCGGACUGAACGGCACCAAACUGCCCCAGGGAGAGGCGCCGAGAUCGGGGCUAAACUAACCUAGGAUUUAAGGCCGCUCCACUUCCUUCCUGGAUAUCGGAGUUCCAGUCACAUAAAAAUAAGAUGGAUGAAAUCAAGUCGGUGACAGCACACAUCUUCCAGAGAUGGAUCAUUUUAUAAUGCCAUCAGUUUGUUGCAUGAGGAAGAUAAAUGAUCCCGGAAUCCGUUGCAAACCUUGUAAAUACAUACACUGAUAAAAUAGAAUGAAAUCGUCUUAUUAAAUACUUUGUUCUUUACAUAGUUGAAUGUGUUGACAACAAAAUUGGAUUCAGGUCUGGGGAACCGGUGGGCCAGUCCAUAGCAUCAAUGCCUUCGUCUUGCAGGAACUGCCGACACACUCCAGCCACAUGAGGUCUAGCAUUGUCUUGCAUUAGGUGGAACCCAGGGCCAGCAUAUGGUCUCACAAGGGGUUUUAGGAUCUUAUCUCGGUACCUAAUGGCAUAGAGGCUACCUCUGGCGAGCACAUCAAGGGCUGUGCCAUGUCAUGAAAUUGAUUGUCAGUGUUGCUUCCUAAGUGGGCAGUUUGAUUUCACAGAAGUGUGAUUGACUUGGAGUUACAUUGUGUUGUUUAAGUGUUCCCUUUAUUUUUUGAGCAGUGCACGUUUUGAAUAAAAAGUACCAUAAAGUCAAUUAAAGAUGGCAUCAGCCAAUUCAAAAAG